rnacentral:lncRNA from 1 species
GAAUAUUCAGCUCAGACCCAGGUAGAAUAGAGGUGACUUGGCAGAAGAGGAGGAGUUUCCAAGUCACAAGGACCACACUUGUAAACAUGAGGUUGCUGAAGCCAGGAGCAGCAGGAAAAACCACCUUCAAGGCUACUGCAUCAAAGCAAUGGACUUUGCGGAACAACGAUGAAUGGGCCAGAGGGGGGCCUGUGCGUACUCUCACAGCAUAAUAAGGU